UUCUUUCAUGGAGGCAUUUCUGAAGGAGCUCUAUGUGCUGGGGAGAAACAUGCUUGAAUUGCGUGAAUGACCAAGGAGGAGUUGCCUUUAUCAAGCAGAUGAGGAAGGAAGGAAAGAUACGUUUCCACUUCCAGAUCCAGGCUUCUCUCUAUUAAACUCUGCUUCUGUCCUAUGAGCAUGUCUGGGGAUUAUUGUGUUUGCAGCAACUAAGAGACAUUACAGACCCUCCGAUGUUGCCCCACACAGAGUCCCUCAAACAGGUGGUCCCACAACAGGACACAUUGGAGGGAACUGACGAAAAUGAGGAGCCAGUCGAGCAACUGGCAUUCCAUGGGAAUGUCUAAGCACCAGUAAGUUAAAUUGCGGCUGAAAAGUUAACCUGUAACUUCUACCAAUCUCCGUUGAUUAAAAGAUUGCAGAGGAGUUGAUUACCAGUUGAUUGAAAGAUUGCAGAGGAGUCACAGAGAGAAGAUUGGAAGCAUUGGAGAAGGACGUACAUCAAAUUAAGGAGCACCUGGGACUUGAUUAAUGACAUUUUUUCAAAGUUUCUCAGUAAAUAGUUCAAUGUUGUAAAAAA